rnacentral:rRNA from 1 species
AUACGGAGGGUGCAAGCGUUAAUCGGAAUUACUGGGCGUAAAGCGUACGUAGGCGGUUAGUUAAGUUAGAUGUGAAAGCCCCGGGCUUAACCUGGGAACUGCAUUUAAAACUGGCUAACUAGAGUUAAGUAGAGGGGAGUGGAAUUUCAGGUGUAGCGGUGAAAUGCGUAGAGAUCUGAAGGAACACCAGUGGCGAAGGCGACUCCCUGGACUUGAACUGACGCUGAGGUACGAAAGCGUGGGUAGCAAACGGGAUUAGAUACCCCUGUAGUCC